rnacentral:rRNA from 1 species
UACGUAGGGUGCGAGCGUUGUCCGGAAUUAUUGGGCGUAAAGAGCUCGUAGGCGGUGUGUCGCGUCGGCCGUGAAAACCUGCAGCUUAACUGUGGGCUUGCGGUCGAUACGGGCAUCACUGGAGUUCGGCAGGGGAGACUGGAAUUCCUGGUGUAGCGGUGAAAUGCGCAGAUAUCAGGAGGAACACCGGUGGCGAAGGCGGGUCUCUGGGCCGAUACUGACGCUGAGGAGCGAGAGCGUGGGGAGCGAACAGG